rnacentral:rRNA from 1 species
UACCUGCAGCUCGAGUGGUAACCGCUAUUAUUGGGCCUAAAGCGUCCGUAGCCGGCUUAGCAAGUUUCCUGUUAAAUUCAGCGACCUAAUCGUUGAGCCGCGGGAAAUACUACUAGGCUAGGAGGCGGGAGAGGUCGACGGUACUUCUGGGGUAGGGGUGAAAUCCUAUAAUCCCGGGAGGACCACCAGUGGCGAAGGCUGUCGACUAGAACGCGCUCGACGGUGAGGGACGAAAGCUGGGGGAGCGAACCGGAUUAGAUACCCGGGUAGUCCCAGCUGUAAACGAUGCGGGCUAGGUGUUGGGGUGGCUACGUGCCACUUCAGUGCCGCAGGGAAGCCAUUAAGCCCGCCGCCUGGGGAGUACGGCCGCAAGGCUGAAACUUAAAGGAAUUGGCGGGGAGCACCACAAGGCGUGAAGCUUGCGGUUC